UGGGGAAUUUUGGACAAUGGGCGAAAGCCUGAUCCAGCAAUGCCGCGUGUGUGAAGAAGGCCUUCGGGUUGUAAAGCACUUUUGUCCGGAAAGAAAUCCUUGGCUCUAAUACAGUCGGGGGAUGACGGUACCGGAAGAAUAAGCACCGGCUAACUACGUGCCAGCAGCCGCGGUAAUACGUAGGGUGCAAGCGUUAAUCGGAAUUACUGGGCGUAAAGCGUGCGCAGGCGGUUUUGUAAGACGAUGUGAAAUCCCCGGGCUAACCUGGGAACUGCAUUGCGAACUGGCAAGGCUAGAGUAUGGCAGAGGGGGGUAGAAUUCCACGUGUAGCAGUGAAAUGCGUAGAGAUGUGGAGGAAUACCGAUGGCGAAGGCAGCCCCCUGGGCCAAUACUGACGCCUAGCAUGCAGCAGAAGCGUGGGGGAGCAAAACAGGAUUAGAUACCCUGGUAGUCCACGCCCUAAACGAUGUCAACUAGUUGUUGGGGAUUCAUUUCCUUAGUAACGUAGCUAACGCGUGAAGUUGACCGCCUGGGGAGUACGGUCGCAAGAUUAAAACUUCAAAGGAAUUGACGGGGUCAUAGCUGUUUCCU
rnacentral:rRNA from 1 species